rnacentral:rRNA from 1 species
CGCACGCGCGCUACACUGACGGAGCCAGCGAGUAUUAACCUUGGCCGAGAGGUCCGGGAAAUCUUGUGAAACUCCGUCGUGCUGGGGAUAGAGCAUUGUAAUUAUUGCUCUUCAACGAGGAAUUCCUAGUAAGCGCAAGUCAUCAGCUUGCGUUGAUUACGUCCCUGCCCUUUGUACACACCGCCCGUCGCUACUACCGAUUGAAUGGCUUAGUGAGGCCCUCGGAUUGGUUUAAAGAAGGAGGCAACUCCAUCUUGGAACCGAAAAGUUGGACAAACUUGGUCAUUUAGAGGAAGUAAAAGUCGUAACAAGGUUUCCGUAGGUGAACCUGCGGAAGGAUCAUUACAGUUAUUACUUUCUACCAGCGCUUAAUUGCGCGGUGGAAAAUAACCCAUACACACAGUGUUUUUUGUUUAUUACAAGAACUAUUGCUUUGGCUUGGCGCAAGUCGGGCCAGAGGUUACUACGUAAACUUCAAUUUUUAAUUGAAUUGUUAUUUUAAUACAGUUGUCAAUUUGUUUGAUUAAAUUCAAAAAUAAUCUUCAAAACUUUCAACAACGGAUCUCUUGGUUCUCGCAUCGAUGAAGAACGCAGCGAAAUGCGAUAAGUAAUAUGAAUUGCAGAUUUUCGUGAAUCAUCGAAUCUUUGAACGCACAUUGCGCCCUUUGGUAUUCCAAAGGGCAUGCCUGUUUGAGCGUCAUUUCUCUCUCAAACCCUUGGGUUUGGUAUUGAGUGGAUACUCUUAGUCGGACUAGGCGUUUGCUUGAAAAGUAUUGGCAAGAGUGUACUAAAAAGUACUACCUGGUAUUCAAUGGAUUAGGGUUAUCCACUCGUUGAACACGGGCGUAAGUUUCGGGAAUUGGCUCGGCCUUACACAACCAACAAGUUUGACCCCAAUCGGGAA